GCCAACCUGAUCUUGACUGGUGUUGGGUGCGGACUUCAAAUCCGUAGGGGCCGGGAGGCCCAGUGGUUCAAUUCCACCUGGUUGGCG
rnacentral:tRNA from 1 species